rnacentral:rRNA from 1 species
GUUGGAGGCUAACGCAGGGAACUGAAACAUCUUAGUACCUGCAGGAAAAGAAAAUAAAUAAUGAUUCCCCUAGUAGUGGCGAGCGAACGGGGAUUAGCCCAAACCACCCAUGUUACGGCAUGUGUGGGGUUGUAGGACCACGCUCUCGCAAGACAGUUAUUGAGAAGAAACGACUGGAAAGUCGUGCCAUAGACGGUGAUAGCCCGGUAUUCUAAGGUAACCGAAGCGUAGUGGUAUCCUGAGUAGCGCGGAGCACGAGGAAUUCUGCGUGAAUCAGCCGGGACCAUCCGGUAAGGCUAAAUACUCCCGAGAGACCGAUAGCGAACCAGUACUGUGAAGGAAAGGUGAAAAGCACUUCGAAUAGAAGAGUGAAAUAGUCCCUGAAACCAUGCGCCUACAAGCGGUCGGAGCAGCUUAAGUUGUGACGGCGUGCCUUUUGCAUAAUGAACCUACGAGUUACUUUUUCCGGCAAGGUUAAGCAUCUUGAGAUGUGGAUCCGAAGCGAAAGCGAGUCUGAACAGGGCGGAUAGUCGGAAGGAGUAGACGCGAAACCAAGUGAUCUACCCUUGGGCAGGUUGAAGGUUAGGUAACACUAACUGGAGGACCGAACCGAUAAGCGUUGAAAAGCUUCCGGAUGACCUGAGGGUGGGGGUGAAAGGCUAAUCAAACUUGGAGAUAGCUCGUACUCCCCGAAAUGCAUUUAGGUGCAGCCUUGAGAGUUACUAAUGUGAGGUAGAGCGACUGAUAAGAUGCGAGGGCUUCACCGCCUAUCAAGUCUUGAUAAACUCCGAAUGCGCAUUAGUUCUAUCUCAGGAGUGAGGGCAUGGGUGCUAAGGUCCAUGUCCUAAAGGAGAAGAAUCCAGACCAUCAGCUAAGGUCCCCAAAUAAACACUAAGUUGAACUAACGAAGUCAGAUUGCUAAGACAGCUAGGAUGUUGGCUUGGAAGCAGCCAUUCAUUUAAAGAGUGCGUAACAGCUCACUAGUCGAGGAGUUUGGCGUGGAUAAUAAUCGGGCAUAAGUGUUUUACCGAAGCUAUGGGAUCCUAAUGGAUCGGUAGGGGAGCAUUCCACUCAGCGUUGAAGGCGAAGCGUGAGCUUUACUGGAGCGUGUGGAAAAGCAAAUGUAGGUAUAAGUAACGAUAAAGGGGGUGAGAAACCCCCUCGCCGCAAGACUAAGGUUUCCUGAUCAACGCUAAUCGGAUCAGGGUUAGUCGGGUCCUAAGGCUCAGCCGAACGGUGAGGCCGAUGGCAGAACAGGUUAAUAUUCCUGUACUACCUAUAAGAGUGAUGUGGAGACGGAGGAGUGACAACGCCGCGGACUGACGGAAUAGUCCGUUAAAGGGUGUAGAUGUUGAUUAUCCCAGGCAAAUCCGGGAUAAGAGUCGAACCUGACAGUAUACCAAUUUCCUCGGAAAACGGUAAUAGUGCGUGUAAACAUACUCCCAAGAAAAUCCGCUAAACUUAAUCUUAUAGGUACCCGUACCGUAAACGGACACACGUAGUCGGGUUGAAUAUACUCAGGCGCUUGAGUGAAUCACGGUUAAGGAACUAGGCAAAUUGACCCUGUAACUUCGGGAUAAAGGGUCCCUACCCGGUGACGGGAGGGCGCAGAGAAUAGGUCCAGGCAACUGUUUAACAAAAACACAGGGCUGUGCAAAAUUGAAAGAUCACGUAUACAGCCUGACACCUGCCCGGUGCUGGAAGGUUAAGAGGAGAUGUCAUCGCAAGAGAAGCAUUGAAUUGAAGCCCCAGUAAACGGCGGCCGUAACUAUAACGGUCCUAAGGUAGCGAAAUUCCUUGUCGGGUAAGUUCCGACCUGCACGAAUGGUGUAAUGAUCUGGACACUGUCUCAACCG